rnacentral:rRNA from 1 species
UACGUAGGGGGCAAGCGUUGUCCGGAUUUAUUGGGCGUAAGGAGCGUGUAGGCGGUUUGGUAGGUCCGUUGUGAAAACUCGAGGCUCAACCUCGAGACGCCGAUGGAAACCAUCAGACUAGAGUCCGGAAGAGGAGAGUGGAAUUCCUGGUGUAGCGGUGAAAUGCGCAGAUAUCAGGAAGAACACCCGUGGCUAAGGCGGCUCUCUAGUACGGUACUGACGCUGAGACGCGAAAGCGUGGGGAGCGAACAGG